GCCCAGAUGGCGGAAUUGGUAGACGCGCUAGAUUCAGGUUCUAGUGUCCGAGAGGACAUGGGAGUUCGACUCUCCCUUUGGGCACCA
rnacentral:tRNA from 1 species